UACGUAUGGGGCAAGCGUUAUCCGGAUUUACUGGGUGUAAAGGGAGCGCAGGCGGCGCGGCAAGUCAGAUGUGAAAGCCCGGGGCUCAACCCCGGGACUGCAUUUGAAACUGCCGUGCUGGAGUGUCGGAGAGGCAAGUGGAAUUCCUAGUGUAGCGGUGAAAUGCGUAGAUAUUAGGAGGAACACCAGUGGCGAAGGCGGCUUGCUGGACGAUAACUGACGCUGAGGCUCGAAAGCGUGGGGAGCAA
rnacentral:rRNA from 1 species